GGAAGAUAGACUCCCAACAUCGACCUGAUGCAAAGGGAGGUAAGAAGGAUUGGUGCUGUUGCUGCCUUCCCCUCUGAAGUCCGGUGUCCACACUUGAAAAAGUACUUCUACAAGUAUUGUAGUAAUGUUUCCUGUUGCUCUUUGUCGUUUCUUCUGUCGCAGGUCUUCCAAGCAGAAAAAAUAUCUAUUAUACCCGGACUUGAACUAAAGUUAUUAUUGUUAUUAGAAAUCAUAGAUUCCGACGGGGAGUGUCAUGUUACACAUGCAUUGUUUGCCUUUUUUUUAUGUGUCUCAUCACUCUUCCCUUAGCCUCCUCUCAUCCCUUGUCUCCUCCCCUACUUCUCAUUCCAGCUCAUUUCAGCUUCAACCUGCAUUCAGUUACAUGCUCUGUUAGCUGUUCACACUAUGAUUUUUGUCCUAUCCAUUUGUUCAUCGGUAUUUGAUCUACACAGUUUUAAAUAAACUUCUUCACGAUCUUCAAGGUGUCAUUGGAUCGAUUCACUGUCCGCCAAUCUACCUAAGACUGCAGUUAUAGACAUCUCAACACAACCAAAUCCUCCACUGCUUCAACGGAGGGGAAUGUGUCCAGAAGAAGUUCUGUGACUGUGGUAUACAACGCAUCUGGAUCUCGGUGUCAGAUAGUGUAUAACACAGGGGCCGAGAGGGACAGUAUAUGUCGCAUGUGGGGACAGUACCACUUUGAGACGAUUGAUGGAGUUUAUUACUUUUUCUCUGGAAAAUUCACCUAUGACUUGUUACGGCAAAAUGAGCCGGACCAACACAGUUUCGCAAUACAGGUGAGAAAUCAGUUGGACUAUCCACAAGGUAAUAAUAUAAAGUAUUUUCAUUGUAUGGAGUUAGAGUGGCCAUUUUCAUAUAAUAACAUCCACCCCAGCACAUUUUAUUUGGGAGUAGCACUAAUUCUAAACUAAAUCUUGGCUCACAAAUGUUACUCUCACUUCAUCCAAAGG